CUCCCUCCCUCUAUCUCUCCCUCCCUCUCUCUCUCCCUCCCUCUCUCUCUCCCUCCCUCUCUCUCUCCCUCCCUCUCUCUGUCUCUCUUUCUUUUGAUCCCAUUCUAUUUGAUUCUGGUUCCCACUGAUUCUCUUCGGUUUUCCUGGUGGGAAUGGGCCAUCCCAGGAACACUGAUCCACCCAUCAGCCUCCAGAAUAGACCCAACAUAGUGGCAAAGCCGACUGAUGUGGGGCAUCACUCCCUAACAAAGCCCACACCCUCCACUGACCCAGGACAGGGACCACACACACUGACCCAAGACAGGACAGGGACCACACCCUCCACUGACCCAGGACUGGACAGGUACUGCACAUACUGACCCAGGACAGGACAGGUACCACACACACCUUCCACUGACCCUGGCAGACAGGCAUGGUGUAACCACAUCACAUAACCACUAACAGAGCCAACAAUGGCCACAAACCACCUUUACGGUUCUGACAGAUAUCAAGUGAAAACAUUCGAACAGUCAGUUCUGUGGGUGAAUUUGUCAACCUACCUGUAAUCAUAAAAUUGAUGAAAGUAUCAGGAGAACGAACACUCUGUAA